rnacentral:lncRNA from 1 species
ACUCGAAGCGCACGCCGCCUCGGCUCGCUGGCUCCAGGGAGUCGUCUCGGCGGGACAGGAAUAGAGCGCAGGGAGCUCGGGAGGAAGGCUGCGCGCAAGCGAGGGACGGAGAGCCAUCGGCCGCCAGGACAGGGCCGGAGGGACGAGGCGACACGCGCGCGACGCAGGACAAAUCGGAGCUUGGGAAAUCUCCCCGUCCCCCAAGCUUCAGAGGGGGGUAAAAUCAGAAAAUGUGUGUGAUGGUGGGAGAGAGAUCCGGGCGCGGCGACUCCUCGCAGCGCAUCCGGCUCCCGCACCCACCCGUGGAUCUGGCCACGGCUGUUGCGGACUCGUCUCGGGAAAGCGGAGGCCGAGCGCGCGUAGGGGUGCGUGUCUGGCUGGGGGUGCGCAGUGGCGGAAACAAGACAGGAGGCGGCUUGGGAAAAAGUGGAGCAGAAAUGGAAAAAUACAAACUCACCCGCUGCAAAUGGUCUCUCGGUGCAAACUAAGGUGUUUUCGGGCCUUUCCCCGCGCGCGCCCACUCCCGCCCGCGCGCGCACCCCGCGCACACACUCACUCGCGCACA